AGUGAACGCUGGCGGUAGGCCUAACACAUGCAAGUCGAACGGCAGCACAGGAGAGCUUGCUCUCUGGGUGGCGAGUGGCGGACGGGUGAGGAAUACAUCGGAAUCUACUCUGUCGUGGGGAAUAACGUAGGGAAACUUACGCUAAUACCGCAUACGACCUACGGGUGAAAGCAGGGGAUCUUCGGACCUUGCGCGAUUGAAUGAGCCGAUGUCGGAUUAGCUAGUUGGCGGGGUAAAGGCCCACCAAGGCGACGAUCCGUAGCUGGUCUGAGAGGAUGAUCAGCCACACUGGAACGGAGACACGGUCCAGACUCCUACGGGAGGCAGCAGUGGGGAAUAUUGGACAAUGGGCGCAAGCCUGAUCCAGCCAUACCGCGUGGGUGAAGAAGGCCUUCGGGUUGUAAAGCCCUUUUGUUGGGAAAGAAAUCCAGCUGGCUAAUACCCGGUUGGGAUGACGGUACCCAAAGAAUAAGCACCGGCUAACUUCGUGCCAGCCGCCGCCGUAA
rnacentral:rRNA from 1 species